rnacentral:rRNA from 1 species
GACAGAGGUGCCGAGCGUUAGGCGGAAUCACUGGGCUUAAAGCGUGUGUAGGCGGAUCGUUAAGUGUCUUGUGAAAUCCCACGGCUCACCCGUGGAACUGCUGGGCAUACUGGCGAUCUUGGGCCAACUAGGGGCAGUCGGAACAAGCGGUGGAGCGGUGAAAUGCGUAGAUAUCGCUUGGAACGCCGAAGGUGAAAACAGACUGCUGGGGUUGCGCCGACGCUGAGACACGAAAGCCAGGGGAGCAAACAGG